rnacentral:rRNA from 1 species
UACGGAGGGAGCUAGCGUUGUUCGGAAUUACUGGGCGUAAAGCGUGCGCAGGCGGGCUUUUAAGCCAGACGUGAAAUCCCCGGGCUUAACCUGGGAAUGGCGUUUGGGACUGGAAGUCUGGAGUGCGGCAGAGGAGACUGGAAUUCCUGGUGUAGCAGUGAAAUGCGUAGAUAUCAGGAGGAACACCGAUGGCGAAGGCAGGUCUCUGGGCUGACACUGACGCUCAUGCACGAAAGCGUGGGGAGCAAACAGG